rnacentral:lncRNA from 13 species
CCUCCCCUCCCUUCCCUCCCAGAUGUAGGUGGACAAAGAGAGGAAUAUCUCUCUGUGCUUUUGUCUACUCAGCUUCUCUUGUCUUCUUGUAACAAAGAUGUCCUCAGCCUUUGGUGGGGUCCUUGAGGAAUAGCCACACUGUCUUCCAACUCUUAAACAAGUUAGCAGUGUUGGAGAAGAAACUGCUGGGUAUCCUGACCACAAGUCUUCAGGACCUUGAAGUGUUCCUUCAUACCCAUCCAUCUGGAGAAGAUGCAACUGGUGGUGGGAAGAAAGGUGGAGUUGGCUAUAUCCUGCUCCCACAUGGAAAGCUAGAGCAGAUUGCUUUCCCCUGGAGUUUUCAGAUCUCAGCGUUGUCCACACAGCUUCCAGCAAUUCAUCAAUUACAGUGCAAGUUUUCCUACCCUAGCACUGAUUCCUGCGGUGGUUUCCUGAGUGUCUGCUCUGUUGGAAUAGACAUAUUCAUCAACAUCUCCACAUUGGCUUUCUGAUUAAUGGAGUGAAAGCUUUGAAGCUGGCUCUUCCAGUAUCAUCAGGCUGUCUUCAGCACCCUCUCAUCAAGGGCCUUUGGAACUGAGAAGGGUCAAAUGGCUCAGCUAUGGAGAAAUGCAGUGGCCAGGAACUACAGAGCUCGAUAAAACAAGUCUCUUGCAAUACUGAUUCUGAACCUGUUCACCAGUAAGCCAUUUGGGUUGGGAAUAUUGUCUGUCAUGGAGAUAGAAGCCAGUCAUUUUUGACUUUAAUUUUAUUCCUCAGAUUCCCAGAAAAAAAAAUCUGCCUGUAGGUGAUAUAAAAAUAGCUACGUCUCAAGAAAAUUUAAAAGAAAAAGCAUUCAGAGAUUGCUGAAAACUAUGUAAUUAUGUUACCUAGCACAGAGAAAGCCUCUGUGCUAAGGGUGCUACCAAAAUGCCACACCUGGAGAGGCUGUAGAGCUCAGGGUUGCUAUCAAGCAGCUGGAAAAGGUAGAGGUCAUAAUUCCUGUUACAUCCCCUGAUCUCCUCACCUCCUCAUUAGGCUCUUGCAUCCUCAUUAAGCUUUCCCCUUUGACCCGUAAGAAAAUAGAUGGGUCUUGGGAAUAAUAGCAAUGGGUAUCACAAACUUAAUGAGAGAGUGAUUCCUGUUGAACUCACCAUUCCAUAUGUGGUUUAUUUUCUGCAGCCAGUCGGCACAGACUCUGAUGCUUGAUAUACAGAAUUAUCUAUCAAGUUGACAAAUGUUUUUAAAAAAGUACCCCAAUACAAAGAGACCACAGAAGUAAUUUCCUUUCAACUGGCAGGAACAGUAAUGGACCAAGGGCUACAUCAACUCUCUGGCUCCAUGUGACAGUUUAGUUAAGGGAUUGGCAAACUUUUCCUGUAAAGGGCCAACUAGUAAAUAUUUUAGGGUUCACAGUCUACAUAUUGUCUCUGUUGCAUAUUAUUCUUCCUUUUUUUUUUUUUUUUUUUUUUUUUUUUGGUAACAACCUCAUAAAACAAAAACCACUCUUAGCUUGGAAAGAUUUAAAAAACAGGCUGUAGGUCAGAUUUGAUUUCCAGGCUGCAGUUUGCUGACUCCUAGCUCAGCUCAUAGGGACUUUGGCCAUCUCACCAGUCCACACUGUUCUAUUACUUUGACGCCACUAUGAGUAUGGAACCUGAUGAGCAGAAGAUAGCCCGGAUGUCUUAGUAAGACACUUUGAUGCCAAAGAUGAAAGAUAAAUCCUUUGAAAGUUCAGUGACCUGUCCGAGAUACUGAGCUAAUUUUCAGAAGUUGUUUUUAAUUUGAGGGUUCAGCAACAAGGAAAUACAUAGUCAGUAGAACUGGACACAGGCUCUGGGAGGGAUAAACAAUAAAUGUCUUAAACCUGACUCUUCCA